GGCUAGCUGUAUGCAUAGGAUUUUGCCAAGGCUUCAGGACCACUUCAAGCUGAAUGAAUGUCUUCUGAUUACCAGACCAUCGCUUGCACCCAACAAUUCAACCUACAACUACACCAAAAAUAAUCAGAAGUUAACUUUCAGUUUUUUCACCCAGAUUCAAAAAAGUCAAGAUUGGAACGGGCCUAAGUAUAACUUCAGUUUUGUGAAUUUCAAGGACGUUGUCCAAAAUCGACUUGAAGUUAAUACCACAGUUGUCUAGAGGACACCACUAAAAAGGAUGGUACGAAAGGCAAGAGAUUGAAUGUUAAGCUUAAAGAUCUUGAGAACCAGCAGAUUAUUGGUACACUUUGGGAUGAAUUUGCAAUUCGGAUGCAUGCCUACUUCAACGCUGAAAAUCGAGAGAAGUAUGUCGUGAUGGUUGUUCACUUCGGUGUUGUGAAUCUUUACAAAGGAAAAUGUGGUUUGUCAACCUCAUUUGACAUUAGUAGAAUUUUCAUCGACACUGACAUUGAUGAAAUUACUACUUUCACGCAGAGGUAUUCUAGAAUUGUUUUAGUUAUUUUAAAAUAACAUUACUAUUAUUUAUUGCAUACUUUGAAUUUAUUAUCGGUUACAAAUUAUCCAUACAUAAUUGCGAACUAAUUCAUACGUAUACGUAUUUAAAAUAAUGUAGUUUAAUUGAGAAGUUCUUUUCAUCGCCAUCUUCAAGUGACAACUUUGGAUCGUAUUUGAUAUCAUCAGUGGAGGAUGAAUUUCAUGAAUAACAGUGAUCUUUUGCCGACUGUCUAUCUUGGUAACAUA